rnacentral:tRNA from 1 species
AACUUAUAGUUUUAAUAGAGAAUGUCCCACUUACACUGGGAGGGAUUUUGUGCAAUUCAGAAUUAGUUGAAU